rnacentral:rRNA from 1 species
GCGAUCAUACCAGCACUAAUGCACCGGAUCCCAUCAGAACUUUGCAGUUAAACGUGAUUGGGCGAGGGUUGUACUAGGAUGGGUGACCUCCUGGGAAGUCCUCGUGUUGCACCCC